ACUGGUUUAGUAUAAGUUUAGUGCGUGGGAUUGUAGCUUCUGAGGUAGCGUUUUGGUCUGGCCAGAG
rnacentral:tRNA from 1 species